UACGGGGGAGCAAGCGUUGUUCGGAUUUACUGGGCGUAAAGGGCGCGAGUAGGCGGCCAGCGCAAGUCAGUUGUGAAAUCUCCGGGCUUAACUCGGAACGGUCAACUGAUACUUGCGCGGCUAGAGUGCAGAAGGGGCAACUGGAAUUCUACGGUGUAGCGGUGAAAUGCGUAGAUAUCGGGAGGAACACCAGUGGCGAAGGCGACUACCUGGCCUGUUCUUGACGCUGAGGCGCGAAAGCUAGGGGAGCAAACGGG
rnacentral:rRNA from 1 species